rnacentral:lncRNA from 1 species
AUCGCAGCAGCCACAUCCUGGAGCGAGAUGAUGGAAGGGGAAGCCAGGGAGCAGGCUUUCAUCUAGCUACCAAGGCUGAAGUAGUGCCUGUCCCACAGAACCAUCACCCCUCAGAACUCAGCCUGGAUGUCAGCCGUGGCCAUGAUGGCUCCGUCUCAUUCUGUCACAGAUCGUCUUUAUAAGCCAGACAUGUCAGUGCUAUAAACUGAUGAGACACCCACCAAAAUUAACAGAAAUCGAAGGUGUGGAAAGGAUCUCAGACAAGCGAAUCCAUCACUGUUACUGUACAGAUAAGAAAUGGAGGUCAAAUAGGAUUAGCAACUUGCUCCGGACUCCACAGGAGACAAAGGAAGUCACGUGACUUGGAAUUCCUGGUGGUGUCUUGAAGAUGGCUGUUCUGUUUCUCAAGCAAGGAGGAGGAGAAUAACAUAUGGAUAUAUCGCCGGCUGCCCGUGCCAUCUCCUGAAUUGCCAGAC